GUGUACACAAGAUAGAGCCUUCAUCAAGUUUUUAUAAACUUUACAUUUAAAUCCACCUUCAAAAGAUAUUUCAAAAACUUUAUUCGUAUUAUUCUUUUAAAUGUAACCCACCUCUAACUUUUACAUCAGCUGCACCUUUACUUGAAGUCUUUGAUUUUAUCAUGAAAGAAAGAUUUCUAAAAAAACUAACUGACAACAGCGGUAUACAAACUAGAUAACAAGUAAAAGUAAGGAUUUCGUGGUUCAUCGUUUACAGGGCAGGUUCCUCUAAAUGGCUAUCUUGCCGCCAAAUCCGUUAAAUUUCAUAAUUACUACUAAUCCAAAAUUUCUUGUUUAUGAGUA
rnacentral:rRNA from 1 species